UUAUACAUUUUUUUUUUUUUUUUUUGCAGGCUGUAUGAUGCAUAUAGUUUUCAGAUGAUCCCUGUGUUGGGUGAAGUGAUCGCCGGAGACUGGAAAUCAUAUCAAUAUUUGGUGGAAAGCAUCCGAAAGUUCCCAGACCAGGAAACAUUCAAGGAAAUGAUCGAGGAUGCUGGCUUCUUGCGUGUCCAGUAUUUUAACCUGACAGGAGGAAUCGUUGCCAUUCAUUCAGGAUUCAAGCUGUGAGUGACUGUCUACCACAUAUAGACAUGAGUAUAGCUUUCUCUCCAAAUGAACUCUGACAAGAAAGAGUGCAGUUCUACAAACAAUGGGACGACAGGAAAGUCAGAACACUUGUGCAACAGGCAAUGGCUCUUAGGAAACUCAGCAUGAAAAGACCUUUGUUCAUUGAUUUAUGCUGUUGGUAUAUUAAACACAUUUCACCCUUUGAAGUGAAAAUGGAAGAGAUUAAAAUGUUGUGGGUUUGAGUGACAUGUUUGCCUGAGAUAUUCAAAAUGUUAAAUGUGAGCACUAUUUUUAUUUGUACAAGCUGGACAGUGCGUUUGGUUUUUGGUCAUUUGGAAGCACAUGCUGACCCAAUAAAAAAAGAAAAAUGUGUUUUAUUUUU